rnacentral:lncRNA from 1 species
UCUGUUCAGAAACAAAUAUCAUCGAGUUGGGAGUGAGGAAAGGUUUAGAAAACCAAACUCAGAAUUUAUUACUGUAAUCAUAGUGUUUGAUUGCAGGUCAAAGUGUUCAUGAAAGACAAUUGAGAAUCAAUUAGCAAUGGCUGGAGGUUGGUAUUCUUGAUCUAUUUUAGUUUCCGCUGCAUAUUGAUCUAAAUAUGUUGUUUAAUUAAUUGUAUAACAUGUUUAGAUAAUUACAAAGAUCUAACAUUUGGUAUCAGAGCCAUGCUUUUGCCUUUGCCUUGCUUAAUUGAUUGAGAAUGUAUGAACUGAAUAUGCAAUGCAAUUUACACACUGUUAGUUAAUUUAUAACAUCACAUUUGGCAUGAAUUUAUGUGUUGGUUAAUGAUUCAGUUUUACAAUAUAUGUUAUAUGAGAAUGAUUCAGUUGUGCAAUAUGAUUUAUCGGAAUGGCUUGCUAAAUUGAAAACAUUGCCUCAUCAUUUUCCCGUAUGCACGCAUGCUUCAUGUUUGAUAAAAUGUCUAUAUGGGCUUGUGUUAAGCCAUUACCAAUAUUGUUGUCAAAACCAAAUUGGAGGAUUAAAAUUAUUAGUAACCAGAUGUGUAAUACAUCAAUAUGGAUCAUAUGAAUAUUGGCUUAUUGAGAAGCAUAUACAUGUAUUAGAAUAUUAAAGGUAUUAACUUAUAUGUAAAACAACAUUGAACUCGUUAAUGUUUAAUUGUGCAUUGAGUUUUACAGCAUACAAAACAUAUCAAAGCUUUCUUUCCAAUUGAGGAUAUGCUACAGGUUAUAUGUUAGUGUGGUUUAAGUUCCAAUCACAUAUGAGUUAUAUAUUCUGUGUUGUUAAUGUUUGAGUAUGUUAUACAUUGAUAUUUUAUGCAAUGUCAUUAAAUGAUUAUAUGUUUUAUGAUUAACUCAUAUAUGUUUGUAUAUUAUAUAUGGAGUGUUAUUAAAUGAAUUUUCAUUAUUCAGAUAAUUAUGCAAAUGUUUAGUUUUUUAUUAAGUGAUUAAUUAUUCAGAUAAUUAUUCUGAUAAUUAUGCAAAUGAUAUUAAGUGAUUUAUAUAAUUUUGAUUAAUUAGGGAGAAGCCACAACAUCUUUAAUUAAUUACGAUUAUAUAUUAAGUUUUAAAAUCACAUUAAAAUAUUAAUUGUAACUAAUCAUAUGUAAUGUAAUAAGAUCCACCCACAAGAAUUUUAUUAUAUUUGUAUGAUUAAUUAUGAUAAAAUGUUAAAUUAUAUUUCUUAAUAUACCCACAGGAAGUAAAAAAAAAGGACAUAAUUUAAUAGUUUUAUCAUGCAGUUAAAUUAUGAAUUUGAUCGAGUAGAACUUUAGCCCACAGGUAAAUUUUAUGUCACUAGAUUCAUAUAUUAAAAAUGUUUUGCAUUGGUAAAGCAUUAACUUUAUUUGUCUCAAUUUUUUUUAAUGAGUAUGUAUGUUUAAAUUUGCAGUUAUUCAACCUGCGAAUAUUUCUGAUAUUAAGUGUGAUGUUCCUGAGUUGAGAGGUGACAACUAUAAGGUUUGGAGGGAGAGAAUCCUUCUCCAUUUGGGUUGGAUGGACG